rnacentral:tRNA from 1 species
GGUCCUAUAAUUUAAAGGAUAAAAUAUUGGUCUUCUAAACCAAUUAUACAGGUUCGAUUCCUGUUGGGACCG